rfam:Gossypium hirsutum cultivar TM-1 unplaced genomic scaffold scaffold1755.1, whole genome shotgun sequence
UGUUAAAAAUUUCAUCCAUUUAUACUUUAAAAAAUUGGUUGGGCUAACGGAAUAACCAUGUAAUGACACAUGGUGUGCCAUGUGUAUCUUAGGUUGGCGUACAGGGACCAGUUUUUAACAAUAGAAAUUGAUUGAAUUUUUAAUA